rnacentral:tRNA from 1 species
GGCUCAGUUGGUAGAGCAUGGUGUAUGCAACGCCAGGGUUGUGGGUUCGAUUCCCAC